UCGGCCCGAGGAUCCUGUUUUCUCCAAGACCUGCGCUUACAGCCAGCCUUCCUGGCCUGCUUAGCGCCCUCAGACUCUUUUUCAGCACAUUCACAAACACAGCCACCCCACUAUUUUCUCCGCAUCCCACCCCCUCUACUGUCAGAUGAAAAGCAAUAUUUUGAGGAUGCAGGAAUCCUGUUGAACUCUCCCUAUGUGGCUGCCUUACGGCCGGAGAGGAAGGUGGACCUCAUUCUUUCCUUUGACUUCAGCAGUGGUGAUCCCUUCCUGACAGUGAAGAAAGCUGCAGAUUACUGUAAAGAGGCUGGAAUACCAUUCCCCUCCGUGGUCAUAGAACCAGGAGAGGAAAAGAACCCUAAAGACUUCUAUGUGUUCAAAGAUGAAACAAAAGCACCCAUCGUCAUCUACAUUCCGCUCUUCAACACUGUCAACUGUGAAGAAAAGAUUGAGGAGUGGAGGAAGAGGUACAAAACUUUUCAGG